GAUCUGCAACUACAGGAAACGUUUGGUUGAAGUUAUUGCUGCCAAAGGAGGUUCAACCAGUUAUUAAAUUCAAGGGUUCACAUACUUUUUCCACCUGCACUGUGAAUGUUUACAUGGUGUGUUCAAUAAAAACAUGGCAACAUUUCAUUCUUUGUGUGUUAUUAGUUUAAGCAGACUGAUUGUCUAUUGCUGUGACUUAGAUGAUAAUCAGAU